AGUCGAACGGAAUUUACAUGAAGCCUAGCGAUUGUAAAUUUAGUGGCGGACGGGUGAGUAACGCGUGGGUAACCUGCCUUGUACUGGGGGACAACAGUUGGAAACGACUGCUAAUACCGCAUAAGCGCACAGCUUCGCAUGAAGCAGUGUGAAAAACUCCGGUGGUACAAGAUGGACCCGCGUCUGAUUAGCUGGUUGGUGAGGUAACGGCCCACCAAGGCGACGAUCAGUAGCCGGCCUGAGAGGGUGAACGGCCACAUUGGGACUGAGACACGGCCCAAACUCCUACGGGAGGCAGCAGUGGGGAAUAUUGCACAAUGGGGGAAGCCCUGAUGCAGCAACGCCGCGUGAGUGAAGAAGUAUUUCGGUAUGUAAAGCUCUAUCAGCAGGAAAGAAAAUGACGGUACCUGACUAAGAAGCCCCGGCUAACUACGUGCCAGCAGCCGCGGUAAUACGUAGGGGGCAAGCGUUAUCCGGAUUUACUGGGUGUAAAGGGAGCGUAGACGGUUUUGCAAGUCUGAAGUGAAAGCCCGGGGCUUAACCCCGGGACUGCUUUGGAAACUGUAGGACUAGAGUGCAGGAGAGGUAAGUGGAAUUCCUAGUGUAGCGGUGAAAUGCGUAGAUAUUAGGAGGAACACCAGUGGCGAAGGCGGCUUACUGGACUGUAACUGACGUUGAGGCUCGAAAGCGUGGGGAGCAAACAGGAUUAGAUACCCUGGUAGUCCACGCCGUAAACGAUGAUUACUAGGUGU
rnacentral:rRNA from 1 species